AUGUUUGUUAAAUGUACGAGGACUUGGGAGAUCUUCCAUGAAAAGCUGGCGCCUUUUCCAAAGGGGUCUUCGCCGUGUUCUUUUGGGGAAACGGACUCAACGCUGCCUUCUGUCUGCGUGCCUGCGGUCCCCAACGGCAGGAAGACCUGUGGCCGCAGUGCAGAGGAUGCUGUGACACUCACCGUGUUUUCUCUUGUCUCAUCACAGGUGGACGGGGCGGACGAUGAAAUCUCUUGGAGCUUGGAGAGUGUGUGUGAGAGCGACCUCGCUGACAGCAACCUCGCAGAAAGUGAUCGAGACUCGGUGGCGGAGCGCACCGACUGCCGCCAGGAUGAGGAGGCUGCAGACUGUUGCUUUGGGAGCAAAGGAUCGUGCUUCAAAAGUCUGAGGACAAGUUUGUCCUCUGCGAGCUUGGCUAGAAUAAUUCCCCGUGGCCACACAACAGGGUGCACCUUGCCACUGAGCCAGAUGAAGGUACUGUGGGACCUGACUCAGUACAUUCAGGCAUGGACAAUGAUUCUAGUUCAUUCAGUGUUCCAAAUUUCCGAACAAACUCUACACAUGCUAAGCCAUGUCUUUCUUUUACUGCAUGAUGGAAAUUCAAAUGAACUAACUUGGAGUUCUGUCGUGGCGCAGUGGUUAACGAAUCCGACUAGGAACCAUGAGGUUGCGAGUUUGAUCUCUGGCCUUGCUCAGUGGGUUAAGGAUCCGGGGUUGCCGUGA
rnacentral:lncRNA from 1 species